GACGAACGCUGGCGGCGUGCUUAACACAUGCAAGUCGAACGGAAAGGCCCUUCGGGGUGCUCGAGUGGCGAACGGGUGAGUAACACGUGGGUGAUCUGCCCUGCACUUUGGGAUAAGCCUGGAAACUGGGUCUAAUACCGAAUAGGACCACGGCAUUCAUGUGCUGUGGUGGAAAGCUUUUGCGGUGUGGGAUGGGCCCGCGGCCUAUCAGCUUGUUGGUGGGGUAAUGGCCUACCAAGGCGACGACGGGUAGCCGGCCUGAGAGGGUGACCGGCCACACUGGGACUGAGAUACGGCCCAGACUCCUACGGGAGGCAGCAGUGGGGAAUAUUGCACAAUGGGCGCAAGCCUGAUGCAGCGACGCCGCGUGAGGGAUGACGGCCUUCGGGUUGUAAACCUCUUUCAGUACCGACGAAGCGCGAGUGACGGUAGGUACAGAAGAAGGACCGGCCAACUACGUGCCAGCAGCCGCGGUAAUACGUAGGGUCCGAGCGUUGUCCGGAAUUACUGGGCGUAAAGAGCUCGUAGGUGGUUUGUCGCGUUGUUCGUGAAAACUCACAGCUUAACUGUGGGCGUGCGGGCGAUACGGGCAGACUGGAGUACUGCAGGGGAGACUGGAAUUCCUGGUGUAGCGGUGGAAUGCGCAGAUAUCAGGAGGAACACCGGUGGCGAAGGCGGGUCUCUGGGCAGUAACUGACGCUGAGGAGCGAAAGCGUGGGGAGCGAACAGGAUUAGAUACCCUGGUAGUCCACGCCGUAAACGGUGGGUACUAGGUGUGGGUUUCCUUCCUUGGGAUCCGUGCCGUAGCUAACGCAUUAAGUACCCCGCCUGGGGAGUACGGCCGCAAGGCUAAAACUCAAAGGAAUUGACGGGGGCCCGCACAAGCGGCGGAGCAUGUGGAUUAAUUCGAUGCAACGCGAAGAACCUUACCUGGGUUUGACAUGCACAGGACGUGCCUAGAGAUAGGUAUUCCCUUGUGGCCUGUGUGCAGGUGGUGCAUGGCUGUCGUCAGCUCGUGUCGUGAGAUGUUGGGUUAAGUCCCGCAACGAGCGCAACCCUUGUCUCAUGUUGCCAGCACGUUAUGGUGGGGACUCGUGAGAGACUGCCGGGGUCAACUCGGAGGAAGGUGGGGAUGACGUCAAGUCAUCAUGCCCCUUAUGUCCAGGGCUUCACACAUGCUACAAUGGCCGGUACAAAGGGCUGCGAUGCCGUAAAGGUGGAGCGAAUCCUUUCAAAGCCGGUCUCAGUUCGGAUCGGGGUCUGCAACUCGACCCCGUGAAGUCGGAGUCGCUAGUAAUCGCAGAUCAGCAACGCUGCGGUGAAUACGUUCCCGGGCCUUGUACACACCGCCCGUCACGUCAUGAAGUCGUAACACCCGA
rnacentral:rRNA from 1 species